GACGAACGCUGGCGGCGUGCUUAACACAUGCAAGUCGAACGGAAAGGCCCUGCUUUUGUGGGUUGCUCGAGUGGCGAACGGGUGAGUAACACGUGAGUAACCUGCCCUUGACUUUGGGAUAACUUCAGGAAACUGGGGCUAAUACCGGAUAGGAGAUCCUGCUGCAUGUUGGGGGUUGGAAAGUUUCGGCGGUUGGGGAUGGACUCGAGGCUUAUCAGCUUGUUGGGGGGGUAGUGGCUUACCAAGGCUUUGACGGGUAGCCGGCCUGAGAGGGUGACCGGCCACAUUGGGACUGAGAUACGGCCCAGAAUCCUACGGGAGGCAGCAGUGGGGAAUAUUGCACAAUGGGCGGAAGCCUGAUGCAGCAACGCCGCGUGCGGGAUGACGGCCUUCGGGUUGUAAACCGCUUUCGCCUGUGACGAAGCGUGAGUGACGGUAAUGGGUAAAGAAGCACCGGCUAACUACGUG
rnacentral:rRNA from 1 species